CAGAUUUAUUACUCACAUUAAUCAACUCUUAAUCAGAUUGAAAUCACAAUUAACACACAAUUGAAAUUAGAAAAGGAUUAGGUUUACAUUUCAACGUGACGCAUUAGCUUCUUCCCCCUUUCUCAAUUCAGACGGCGGCGUGACGGCGACGGAGUUGUUCGUCUCCGAUCAAAACUUUGCCUCUCAUCUCACUCGCAUCUCUCCGCUCAUCAUCUCUCACGUUCUUCAGAUCUCAAACUCCGGCUCUCAUCUCCGAUUCAACUCCGUCCACCAUUAAAGUAAACGACGACCACGUUGUCUCGUCGCUAUGUGAUCAGGAUUCGUUCGAUGCGUCUUCAAUUUGAGGAAGAUGAUGAAGGAUAUCUGGAAGAACGCUCAGAGACACGGUUACGUUAUGAUGCAGAAGCGAGGAAGGUGGAUUGAAAUUUGGAUGAUGUAAGUUCUCGCAGGCUGAGUUUGCAGAUGAAGAUGCGAUGUUGUUGAAGAUUGAUUGAAUCAAUGUUUCUGUUGAAGCUUUUUUCUGAGUUUUUCGGUGAUUUGGCGUAUGAAGAAAAUUGAAGCUGUGAAGGAUGAAGAAGAGAGAAAGAUGUGUAUCGGUGAGUUCAAUUUUCUUUUUCAGAGAAGUUUGUUACAUCUUCUUUUUCUCAAGUCUGUUAUCUGUGAAUCUCUGUGAUGAUUGGAGGAUGAAGAUGAUUGUGAUGAAGCCAUGGAGGUGAAGAUUGAAGGUUAUGGUGAUGGAUCUUCCGAGUUUUCUGGUGAGGAUUCCAUGAAGAAGAUAAUGAAGAUAGAGAGAGAGCGAUCAAGGUUUGCAGCGAUGUGAGAUUUCUGGUUCGGUUCUUUGUGUGAUGAAGAUGAAUGAAAAUGCCGAUUAUCUGGUGAAUCGAGAAUGAUUGAAGAGAGUUUUCUUAUGAUCUGUGAAUUGUGGAAGAUUGGAAAAGAUGAAGAUGAGGAUGGUUUCAAGAUCGUGAAUGGAGAGAGUUUGUUACCAUUUUCAAUUCUGUUAUACUGAGUUCUCCCCUUGAUUUCUGUUAUGUGAAAGUUUUAUUCCCCUCUGCUGAGCUGUUCUUUUCUGUUCGUAUUUUUGCUGCAGGGUCGGUUCAUUGAUUAUACAGGAUUGAGAUUCGGUUUUCCUUGGAGCUGCUGGUUUAUUUGUGUAAAGGGCUGAACCAGUUUUAUGCAUAGUUUCGUGAAGAAUUUUGUAAUACCUUCCAUGGUUAAUGAAAUUUGCAAUGAGCUUUGAGGCGGACUUGAAUCAGUUUGGCGGUGCACAUGGGGAUGGCUUAGGAAAUCAGGAUCAAUUUGUCUUUGUUUAGGAAGAGUUUGUAAUGUUCAAUGGGUUUUUUUGUAAUAGGUUUUUUGUAAAGGAUUUUGAAACGAUAUUUGAAGGAUGUAAUCAAGAAAUUAGAUUCUGAACAUGAUUUUUUUGUAUAAUUUUUGUAAUGAAA